rnacentral:rRNA from 1 species
GAUGAACGCUGGCGGCGUGCCUAAUACAUGCAAGUCGAGCGAAUGGAUUAAGAGCUUGCUCUUAUGAAGUUAGCGGCGGACGGGUGAGUAACACGUGGGUAACCUGCCCAUAAGACUGGGAUAACUCCGGGAAACCGGGGCUAAUACCGGAUAACAUUUUGAACCGCAUGGUUCGAAAUUGAAAGGCGGCUUCGGCUGUCACUUAUGGAUGGACACGCGUCACAUUAGCUAGUUGGGGAGGUAACGGCUCACCAAGGCAACGAUGCGUAGCCGACCUGAGAGGGUGAUCGGCCACACUGGGACUGAGACACGGCCCAGACUCCUACGGGAGGCAGCAGUAGGGAAUCUUCCGCAAUGGUCGAAAGUCUGACGGAGCAACGCCGCGUGAGUGAUGAAGGCUUUCGGGUCGUAAAACUCUGUUGUUAGGGAAGAACAAGUGCUAGUUGAAUAAGCUGGCACCUUGACGGUACCUAACCAGAAAGCCACGGCUAACUACGUGCCAGCCGCCGCGGUAA